rnacentral:lncRNA from 10 species
CAAGGUCAUAAAAGACAUUGUAGCUUCUGCCUUGUCCCUUCCUCUUGGAUCUCUUGCUAUGGAGUAGCAGCCCCAUGAAGACACCCGUGGUGGAAGAUCACUGAGGACUCCUGCCAACAGCCACCCAGUGACUGAGGCCUCUUGCAGAAAUCCAUAUGAGUGGGCCAGCUGACAAGAAAAUCUUCCAGCUCUAGUCAAGCCUUCAGGUGAGCAAUGAGACUUAUGGAAACAAAUCUGCCUAAUGCCAUUUAGCUAGUAAACACAAAGAGAAGUCCAGAACCUAGCCCUCUUUGACCUCUCUGUCCACACUCUCAGCUACUAGAGGAUGGAGACUGGCAGGAGAAAAGCAGAAGGUUCUGGAGUCCAGAACACCAGCUCUUAGUGCCAGGAACUGCCAGGUAAGAAUUCUGACUACACUGAGGCCACCAUGCUCUGAGGAAGUCAAGCCAGAUGGAAAGAUCACAGCAGGAGAACUGGUCAGCAGUCAUACUCUUGAACUCAUCCCAACCCAGACUCCAGACAUGUGAAUUGACAAGUCUUCAGAUGAUUCCAGCACAAAGCCAUUGAGUCACCUCCAGCCAUUGAGUGUCCCCAGCCGAGACACCAGUCACCAUCAAGCAGAGCCAAGGGAAGUUCCAGUUUGCAGACUUAAGAGAAGAGAAUAACUAG